CCGUUGUGUUCCAGACUCCAGUGAUGAAAGUCGCACUACUUGUCGUACUCGCUACCACUUUGGUUCAAGCUAAAUCUCUGCAGGAGAAUCAAGGAAGCGAUGGCGGGGAAACGACGACUAGAUAUGAUCGGAGUACCAGUACGACGGUCAAUAUGAGGGAUGCGAUGCAGGGAACUGGAAACAAGUUGAGGGACAAAAUCAAAUCCGUUACUAUAGGGGAUAUUUGCACCGCAACCACGAAGCCUCUUAGACAGUAGAUGCGGGAGAAGACAAUGGAAAUAAAUGUUUUUUUGAAAUGAA